CUAUAACAUGUGAGCAUCUGUGACCUAUACAAUAUGACCUGUGAAUUAUAAUUUGUGACCAAUUAAUAGUGACCUAUGAAUAUAAAUCUGUGAUAUGUGACAUAUAACAAGUGCACAGGGACAUGUAACAUGUUAUCAGUUUACAUGUUCCAGGUCAUUGUAUACAAGACACUGGUCAUUGCAUCAAUUCACAAAUUAUUUAUUUUAUUGGUCACAAAUCGUGUCUAUACAACCCCAAACCAAUCCAAACCCAGCAACACAACCAGAACCUACACCAUUACCACUAGAACCACUAUUGUCAUUGCCAACACGACCACAGCAUAUCAUAUCAAAAAAUCACCCACAAAAAACCACCAACAAUAAACAAGAUAUUCAAACAAGAUAAAUAACAGACACAAAAUAGGAAAACACCAACACCAAAUAACUACAGUAACUGGAGACUCGCCAUUAUAACUACUACAAUAUCCACAUCAAAUCUAAAACCAAUAUCAUAACCUCUAUAUCAAAUCCAAACCAAUCACCACCAACCCACCAUCACUGCAUUUUUUCCCCUACUAAAUUAACCAAUCUCAACAACUAAAGGCUAAGACUCACCAACGAUAGCAGAGUUAAAAUGAAUAAAGAAAUGAAAAAUAGAUGCAAUAGGGACCAAUGGUGGUUUAAGGUGGGAAGACUAGUGACUGGUGGAUGGUUUCUCCUGGCCAACGAAUGAGGAUUUGGCGCGAUCAAAGGAUGAAGUCGAUGGUGGACAGAUGCUGUAGAUGGCGAUCUUAGAGCAAUUGCUAUAGGGCGCAGGCUUCGGAGCAGAGAUAUGCGGGAAACUUGUUGAUGAUUCGAUGAUUCAGUAGGAUACCAAUGAAAUUGAUAGGUCGCCGAAGUGAAAUGCAGUAGUGGUCAACGGAGUGAGAAUGGUGGGUUGCGACAGACAAUGGGUGAAGAUAGAAAUGUUGGGAAUCUACUUAUACAUGCACAG
rnacentral:lncRNA from 1 species